UGUCCUCAGUCCCGGGUCGUCUCGGCGCGGUUCCGAGCGGUCGCUCCCUCGCGAGGUGCCGCGGGUCAGCGGCUGACGCCAGCCACCUUCCCGACCCGUCUUGAAACACGGACCAAGGAGUCUAACAUGUGCGCGAGCCGCGGGGCAGUACGAAACCCGUAAGGCGAAAUGAAGGUGAACGCCGGCGCGGUCCGGCGGAGGUUGGAUCCCGUCCCGUCGGGGCGGGCGCACUACCGGCCGAUCUUCUCCGCCCUGUCGGCGAGGUCGAGCGAGAGCGUGCAAGUCGGGACCCGAAAGAUGGUGAACUAUGCCUGAGGAGGUUGAAGCCAGAGGAAACUCUGGUGGAGGACCGUAGCGAUUCUGACGUGCAAAUCCCAUUGCCUCGUCGAUUUAUUUUGCCGGGAUGUGGGUGGGAGCUGUGGUGUCUGGAUACGCGGCUGAUUAGUAAUUGAAUAACUUGGGAGUAUAUUUAAAAUCAUACUAAAAUGCGAAAUCUCCUAGCAUUGGUCGUAAGAACACAAUGCUUCUUUCAUCAAUUGGAACAUUAAUAUCUGGGGUGGCAACGGCGUUUUCUCCAUGGUUUGAACUUUUUGUCGUACUUCGAUUCUUUUCCGCAGCAUUUUCACACGGAGCUUUUCUUAUUAUGUUCGUUUAUGGUAAGCAUGUUGCGAUCUAUAUGACUAAGCCCUA
rnacentral:ncRNA from 1 species